rnacentral:tRNA from 1 species
GCCUGGGUGGCUCAGUCGGUUAAGCGUCUGACUUCGGCUCAGGUCACGAUCUCGCGGUCCGUGAGUUCGAGCCCCACGUCAGGCU